UAAUUGAGUGUUUUAUGGCACUCUUUAAAAAAAUCCAUAUCCACCUUGUGUGCAACGUUUUUGAACUCUCUGGCAUUAAAAAGCCAAGAGGGUUUGAUUAACUUAACACCUUUAAAGCAGUUUGUCUGAAUAUCUAUUUCUGAAUAAACAUAAUUCAAAAAUA
rnacentral:misc_RNA from 1 species